UACGGGAGCAGCAGUGGGGAAUAUUGCACAAUGGGCGCAAGCCUGAUGCAGCCAUGCCGCGUGUAUGAAGAAGGCCUUCGGGUUGUAAAGUACUUUCAGUCGUGAGGAAGGUGUUAAGGUUAAUAACCUUAGCAAUUGACGUUAGCGACAGAAGAAGCACCGGCUAACUCCGUGCCAGCAGCCGCGGUAAUACGGAGGGUGCGAGCGUUAAUCGGAAUUACUGGGCGUAAAGGGCACGCAGGCGGUUAAUUAAGUUGGAUGUGAAAUCCCCGGGCUUAACCUGGGAAUGGCAUUCAAGACUGGUUAGCUAGAGUCUUGUAGAGGGGGUAGAAUUCCAUGUGUAGCGGUGAAAUGCGUAGAGAUGUGGAGGAAUACCGGUGGCGAAGGCGGCCCCUGGGACAAAGACUGACGCUCAUGUGCGAAAGCGUGGGGAGCAAACAGGGAUUAGAUACC
rnacentral:rRNA from 1 species